CCUGGUGGCUCAGUCGGUAAAGAAUCUGCUUGCAAUGCGGAAGACCCAGGUUCAAUCCCUGGGUCAGGA
rnacentral:tRNA from 1 species